GAACACCAGCUUCGAGGAAAAGGAUGCACGUUUUCUUGUUUAACAAAAUAAAUUAAAUAUACGAAGCUUCAGCUCAAACUCUAUAUAAAAUUACAGAGGUCUGGGGCCACGGGUAGCAGGGUGAUGGGUGCCCAGGCCAGGGUGGACAUCCAGCAUGGCCACAAGGCCAGGUGGGUCCUGGGCCCCGGGAGAGGCCAAGUCUCUGUGGCCCAGCCCUCCUUUCAUCAUUAUUAAUAUUAUUAUCUUAAUUUCUUAAAUAUAAAUAUCAAAGGCCCCUCCUCUCUGGCAGUGGGAGGCCGGGUGGGACAAAAGUCACCCCCCGCUGGCUCCAGCCGCUCAGGACAGGGCCCAGGACUGCCCCGCCCGACCCCCUCCAGGGUGCUGGUGGACUCCUGGACACCAGGACAGGUGGUGGCAAAAAUAGCCAGGGCAGGGACACGGGCAGGCAGGCGCGGGGACGGGGUCGGAGUUUUUGGUUUGCAAAGCCAGGGUGCCUCUCAGAUCUCCUGCCAGGCCAGGGUGGGGGGGUGACCAUGGCCUCCGUGAAAUCCUUCUCACGGGGCCAAGGGAUUCCUUCAUGAGCUAGCCGGUCGCCACAUGCGCACUGCGGUUACAAUACAGGCCUUCCCAAAGGCUUCUCAGUCUGCAUGUAUGUGUGUGUGUGUGUGCGCGCGCGCGUCCACGUGUGUGCGUCUCACGGGGCACGGGGAGAUGGCCCCACGGUCUGUCCUUCCCUGUGGCCCUCCACCCCAGCCUGCCGCUGGCAGUGCCGCCACGAGCCCACCCGAGGCACCCUAGCCCUGGUAGUGGGUGUGCUGGUGCUGGUGGCCUCUGCCCUGCACAUGUGAGUGUGAGUGUGUGUGUGUCUAUGUGUGUCCAGAGGUAUGUCAUGUGUGUGUAUGCGCGUCCACGUGUGUGCGUCUCACGGGGCACGGGGAGAUGGCCCCACGCCUGCCGCUGGCAGUGCCGCCACGAGCCNNNNNNNNNNNNNNNNNNNNNNNNNNNNNNNNNNNNNNNGGGUGCGCCUCGCGGGCCGGGGGGACCCGCCCCCCACCCUGCCGCUGGCUGUGCCGCCACGAGCCCGCCCGAGGCACCCUAGCGCUGGUAGUGGGUGUGCUGGUGCUGGUGGACUUUGCCCUCCACAUGUGAGUGUGUGUGUGAGUGUGUGUGCGUGUGUGUGUGUGUGUGUGCGUGUGCGUGUGAGUGUGUGUGUGUGUGUGUGUGUGUGUGUGUGUGCGUGUA
rnacentral:lncRNA from 1 species